UACGUAGGGUGCAAGCGUUAAUCGGAAUUACUGGGCGUAAAGCGUGCGCAGGCGGUUCGCUAAGACCGAUGUGAAAUCCCCGGACUUAACCUGGGAACUGCAUUGGUGACUGGCGGGCUAGAGUAUGGCAGAGGGGGGGUAGAAUUCCACGUGUAGCAGUGAAAUGCGUAGAGAUGUGGAGGAAUACCGAUGGCGAAGGCAGCCCCCUGGGUCAAGACUGACGCUCAUGCACGAAAGCGUGGGGAGCAAACAGG
rnacentral:rRNA from 1 species